CAGCAGUCGCCGCGGGAAUACGGAGGGGGCUAGCGUUGUUCGGAAUUACUGGGCGUAAAGCGCACGUAGGCGGCUUGGUAAGUUAGAGGUGAAAGCCCGGAGCUCAACUCCGGAAUUGCCUUUAAGACUGCCGAGCUAGUAGGUGAGAGAGGUAAGUGGAAUUCCGAGUGUAGAGGUGAAAUUCGUAGAUAUUCGGAAGAACACCAGUGGCGAAGGCGGCUUACUGGCUCAUUCUAGACGCUGAGGUGCGAAAGCGUGGGGAGCAAACAGGAUUAGAUACCCCCGUAGUCCCUGUCUCUUAUAC
rnacentral:rRNA from 1 species